GAUGAAGAACGUAGCGAAAUGCGAUAAGUAAUGUGAAUUGCAGAAUUCAGUGAAUCAUCGAAUCUUUGAACGCACCUUGCACCCUUUGGACUGCUCCAAAGGGUAUGCUCGUUUGAGUGUCAUUGUACUCUCACACUCUCUGAUCCUUUGGAUUUGGGGAGCAGUGGACUUGGGUGCUUGCUGCUUCCUUGUGGCUCACCUGUAAUGCAUCAGUGCAUCUCUCGAUUGGACAUAGUACGGCGUGAUAAGUGUCUUCGCCGGCACCUCAUAUGAGGGUGGCCGAUCGGGAGCUCUGUGCUUUCAAACCGUCUUCGGACAACGCUGACAACUUGACCUCAAAUCGAGUAGGACUACCCGCUGAACUUAAGCAUAUCAAUAAGCGGAGGA
rnacentral:misc_RNA from 1 species